rnacentral:rRNA from 1 species
CCCUUAGAUGUUCUGGGCUGCACGCGCGCUACACUGAUGCGCUCAACGAGUUUUAACCUUGCCUGGAAAGGUUGGGUAAUCUUUGAAACUGCAUCGUGAUGGGGCUAGAUUAUUGCAAUUAUUAAUCUUCAACGAGGAAUGCCUAGUAAGCGUGAUUCAUCAAAUCGCGUUGAUUACGUCCCCGCCCUUUGUACACACCGCCCGUCGCUACUACCGAUUGAAUGGUUUAGUGAGGACUCCUGAUUGGCGCCGCCGCCCCGGCAACGGAGCAGCGGACUGCCGAAAAGUUGUUCAAACUUGAUCAUUUAGAGGAAGUAAAAGUCGUAACA